rnacentral:rRNA from 1 species
AGGAUGCUUUGGCAUUGGCGGCGGUCUAAGUUCCUUGGAACAGGACAUCACAGAGGGUGAGAAUCCCGUACGUGGUCGCCUGCCCUUGCCGUGUAAAGCUCCUUCGACGAGUCGAGUUGUUUGGGAAUGCAGCUCUAAAUGGGAGGUAAAUUUCUUCUAAAGCUAAAUACUGGCCAGAGACCGAUAGCGCACAAGUAGAGUGAUCGAAAGAUGAAAAGUACUUUGGAAAGAGAGUCAAAAAGCACGUGAAAUUGUUGAAAGGGAAGCGCUUGCAGCCAGACUUGCCCGCAGUUGCUCACCUAGGCUUUCGCCUGGGGCACUCUUCUGCGGGCAGGCCAGCAUCAGUUUGGGCGGUUGGAUAAAGGCCUCUGUCACGUAUCUCCCUUCGGGGUGACCUUAUAGGGGAGGCGCAAUGCAACCAGCCCGGACUGAGGUCCGCGCAUCUGCUAGGAUGCUGGCGUAAUGGCUGUAAGCGGCCCGUCUUGAAACACGGACCAAGGAGUCUAACAUCUAUGCGAGUGUUUGGGUGUCAAGCCCGAGCGCGCAAUGAAAGUGAACGGAGGUGGGAACCCUUUGGGUGCACCAUCGACCGAUCCUGAUGUCUUCGGAUGGAUUUGAGUAAGAGCAUAGCUGUUGGGACCCGAAAGAUGGUGAACUAUGCUUGAAUAGGGUGAAGCCAGAGGAAACUCUGGUGGAGGCUCGCAGCGGUUCUGACGUGCAAAUCGAUCGUCAAAUUUGGGCAUAGGGGCGAAAGACUAAUCGAAC